rnacentral:rRNA from 1 species
AAGAGACAGCAGCAGCCGCGGUAAUACGGAGGAUCCAAGCGUUAUCCGGAAUCAUUGGGUUUAAAGGGUCCGUAGGCGGUCUUGUAAGUCAGUGGUGAAAGCCCAUCGCUCAACGGUGGAACGGCCAUUGAUACUGCAGGACUUGAAUUAUUGGGAAGUAACUAGAAUAUGUAGUGUAGCGGUGAAAUGCUUAGAGAUUACAUGGAAUACCAAUUGCGAAGGCAGGUUACUACCAAUUGAUUGACGCUGAUGGACUAAAGCGUGGGUAGCGAACAGGAUUAGAUACCCGCGUAGUCCCUGUCUCUUAUAC